ACCUGGGUGGCUCAGUCGGUUGAGCGUCCGACUUCAGCUCAGGUCAUGAUCUCAAAGUUUGUGGGUUCAAGCCCCACAACAGGCU
rfam:Felis catus isolate Cinnamon breed Abyssinian chromosome F1, whole genome shotgun sequence.